ensembl:lncRNA
UUUCUCCAUCUUCCAGUGAAAUCCAAAGAUGGGAAAGUCUCAAAGUGUUCUUGCGAAGAAUGGAUACACCAUUGUGAAGGAGAUGGAAAAUGGUGUCCUUGGUACCGACAAAGACUGUGACAAUUAUUUUAUUAAAGAGAUACGUAAGAAUUAGGAGAACAGCAAGUUGCACUUGGACAGAAGAAAGGACCACUUGUACUUGACAUCUUGACCAGAUGGAAUUCUACCCUAGAGAUUGUCAAGUGGAUCCAGCAUAAUUGUCAUCUUGACGGCACGGGACCUUGAUAAACUGCAAAGGCUUGUGGAACUACUUGAACCUUGCAGAUCAUAGACUGGCUUAUUCAGAUCUGUAUGGCCCUGAAGCAUGUCCAUGAUAACGACAUGAUAAGACCACUGGUACACAAAGGCUUUAAACCCUCUUCUCAGGGAUUUUCUACCAAUUUUAUAUUAUAUUCUCUAUCACAGCUAGCCAGCGACAUUUUGCAUCAAUGUCACUUGCAAGUGACAGGUCAUCAAAUAAACAGGAUCCAAAAAGAGGGAGUAUGCUCACC